GGUGUUUCCAUCAGGCCCCCAAGCCGACCUGGUUCCCCUCUCUCACCUGGUUCUGCUCACAGUGAGAAGGAGAAGACUAUGAGUCAAGGCGUCUGUCUCCUAGGCAUGUUCCAGAAGGAGCAGAGCCCCCAGUGCCAAGCAGGACACUGUGAUGCCUUUGCACACAUUCAGGAAUGACCAGAAAUGACUUUCCAUCCUGUGGACAACCUCCUAAGUGAUGAUUUGGGGAAUAAAAGUCUAGAAUCCAAACACCGAUGCACAAGGAACCAACAACACAAGAGAAAAACUGAGUAGCUCAGUCACUGGAGAAGGAGGAGGCUGGCUCUGCAUUCUCUGUUGUAGGCCCACAGCCAGGAACAGAGGGCUGCCCGUCAGUGAGCUGACAUUGACCAGUUCCUUUCUGGUCCUCUGGUGUCAGAAACAGCUGUGCGUCUUGGCCACCGUCCACCCACUGUGGGUAGGAAGAGCCACGUGGUGCAGCUUUUCAGAAUGUACCUCAAACAGCAGAACCUUCAAGACUGGGACCCUCAGAGGACGGCACCAGAGCUGGCCCAAGGGCCGGGGCCU